ensembl:lncRNA
CAGCUACACACCGUCCUCUCCACCGGAUCCACCGGUCCGCAGGUCCGCAGCCAGCCUGUCUGUCUGCCUGCCCCACCUGUCACCUUGCUUGCCUUGCCUUCAGUGCCUUCAGUGCCUUCAGUGCCUUCCCGGCUUUCUCCACGGCACGCCCAGCCGCCACCGUUCUCGCCGCCGUUCUCCGCGGCACGCCCAGCUGCGCCGGUGUGCGUCCCCAGGAACGCCGGUUCCCUGAGCCGGCCAGCUCCCCUCUCCCUCAGUUAGUUCCUAGCUCUCCCCCAGCCCCCUGUGACAGAUAGAACCCUGAGGGAUACCAAGAACAUCAACAGUUGCCUUCUCUGACUGAGAUGCUUUGUCUCUCAGGUAGGAGAUGAACAAAUCUUCAGGUUAACAAAACACACAUGGAAAGACGAAGGGCUCAGCAAUGUUGAUGAGCAUUAUGGGAGACAGUAUCACGUUGUUGGACACGUCCAUCCACAGC